rnacentral:rRNA from 1 species
UUCUGUGUGAAUUGCAGAAUCCCGUGAACCAUCGAGUCUUUGAACGCAAGUUGCGCCCCAAGCCUUCUGGCCGAGGGCACGUCUGCCUGGGUGUCA